rnacentral:rRNA from 1 species
GACGAACGCUGGCGGCGUGCUUAACACAUGCAAGUCGAACGGAAAGGCCCUGCUUUUGUGGGGUGCUCGAGUGGCGAACGGGUGAGUAACACGUGAGUAACCUGCCCUUGACUUUGGGAUAACUUCAGGAAACUGGGGCUAAUACCGGAUAGGAGCUCCUGCUGCAUGGUGGGGGUUGGAAAGUUUAGGCGGUUGGGGAUGGACUCGGGGGUUAUCAGCUUGUUGGUGGGGUAGUGGCUUACCAAGGCAUUGACGGGUAGCCGGCAUGGGAGGGUGACCGGGCUCAUUGGGACUGAGAGACGGCCCAGACUCCUACGGGAGGCAGUAGUGGGGAAUAUUGCACAAUGGGCGGAAGCGUGAUGCAGCGACCCCGCGUGCGUGAUGACCGCCUUCGGGUGGUGAACCGCUUUCGCCUGAGACGAAGCGUGAGUGACGGUAAUGGGUAAAGAAGCACCGGCUAACUACGUG